CAGGACUCCUUUGGACUGAAUGAUCAGAGGCCUCUCUGAGGAAGUGACAUCAUGUUAGAAUGUGUUGAAGUUGACCAUGCGGAGAAGUGGGAAGGAACAUAGGGGGGUCCAAAUAGAAAGACCCUGUGAUAAGACACAGUUGACCUUUUAAACGGACAUAAUGGAGACAAGUACUUCCAUACUUCACAGACCUACCUGGAGCAUGGUGAGGACGGGGGAGAUGCAGGAAACACCUGCAGAUUAGGCAGGAGGAAGGUUCUGGAGAAGCCUUGCUGCCUUGUCAAAAGGGGCAAACGUAAGCCUUUGAAAGUAUCCACGGUAUCCAUGAUUUUGAAAAGAUCAUAGAACGAAAUGGAGGGGACUCCACCUCCAAACUACUGUUUUGCCAAGUUGCCUGUCUGAAUACCAUCUGUGUACAGAUGAGGGAUUAUUUAUGACUCAGUGAGUUGCUAGAAGGACCACAAUAUCUUUGUUUGGGUCUGCAUUUUCAAGCCUCCAUGGAACAGGCUGGCAUCGUUCCUGGUGGUCCACGUUUAACGUUCUGUUGGUGCAUCGUUUGAGACUCUUAACCAGCCACGUAUGUUACCAUCUGAAGAUAUUUGGCACAGCAUUAUUUAUAUCAGCUUCUAAUCCAUUGUGGCCAUUAGGUGAUAUUUUCACAGCAGAAUCACACAUUUUUCUACAUUUCCCAGUUUAAUCCACGUAGUUGUUUUCUUUCUCAGUUCGGGCCGUAAGGACUUAUUCUCUUUGAUUCUGAUGACAUUUCUCAGGAUAUUUAUAAAUUUGCAUACUGGCUGCAAACAGCUCAGGAUCACUUCAGAGAAGUGUUUUUCUGUGGAAUGAAAAAUGCUACCGAUUAAGUAGUCCCAGGAGUGGGGUGGACUCUGGGCUUUCCCCAGUAGUUUGAUAGGUUUCUUCUCAGUUUGGACAGAAACUAUAGUUAGCCAGCCAUCAACUUUAGUCUGUUUCUUUACAGUGAGACUAUCCCUGGGUUCGGGGACAGACCUCCGAUUUGCAAGGACGCUGGAAAUUCUGAGCGCCUUGGACAUUUGCAGCAGCAUUGAAAUAGAAAUGCAUCGACCCUUAAAAGACUCUCUGAAGCAGAUAUUUCAGAAGGAGAAAGGAACCUACGGCCCCCAAAGAGCAGAGUAUACACAGAGCUGGCAGUACUGAGUAUCAUACAGAGUAAUAAUUUCACAUGUGAAGGUAAUUCAUUACAUUAAAACAUUCACUGGCUUUAGUUUAUUUAAGCCUCUGGGACUAACACAGCACAUUUCUAAAUAUUAUGGGUUUUGUAAAGGUGCAUGACGAAUAAGCAGACUGCCAGUGUGCUGGGAAAGUGAUAAAAAUCAGCGCUAAGCUUACUCACGGCUUUCUUUGGAGUGUAUAUUUAUGUGGUGAUGUCAGCACGGUAUCCUGCGGAUGGCUAAAGGUCAUGUUCUGUGUUCAUCUGCGCAGGAUUUAGAAACUCUCGAACAGCCUUGCGAGAGAAAAAUGGCCAGCUGAAUCCGAGCACGGCUGCCCCCAUCCCGGUGCCGGUCGCCCCACCGCAAAAGAACUGAACAAAGAAAUCCAUCUUGAAACGAACUCAAAACCGCAGCAGCUCCGUCUUUGGCCACGUGAGUUAUGUGAGUGAUUGAGGCUGGCUCCAGUGUC
rnacentral:lncRNA from 1 species